AUGCACUUACCUCUCCUCAUCAGGGAAAAUCAACCACCUCUGCUCGCGGGUCGCCGGCACGGAUGGGAGCCGUGUAGCACCACGCUGGUAGACGUUGCCCCCCUCCUCCCCCUCCUCAUCAGUCGGCUCCCCGCCAUCAUCAGCAUGGCCACUCGGCUCCCCGCCAUCCUCAGGCUGACCCGACCAGGUACCCCAUCCAGACGUGUGCUCUUCCGGGGUCUCAUGGGCCGAAGGCCCGUCGACCCGAGGCUCGUGGGCCGAAGACCCGUGGACCGGAGUCCGUGCAGCCUCCUCCUCAGCCGAGUCCACCCUAGCAGUCACGUGCUCGGGUGA
rnacentral:rRNA from 1 species